rnacentral:rRNA from 1 species
AGACGGGACCCGCACAAGCGGUGGAUGAUGUGGAUUAAUUCGAUGCAACGCGAAGAGCCUUUACCUACCCUUGACAUGUCCGGAACUUGCCAGAGAUGGCUUGGUGCCCGAAAGGGAAUCGGAACACAGGUGCUGCAUGGCUGUCGUCAGCUCGUGUCGUGAGAUGUUGGGUUAAGUCCCGCAACGAGCGCAACCCUUAUCAUUAGUUGCUACGCAAGGGCACUCUAAUGAGACUGCCGGUGACAAACCGGAGGAAGGUGGGGAUGACGUCAAGUCCUCAUGGCCCUUAUGGGUAGGGCUUCACACGUCAUACAAUGGUCGGUACAGAGGGUUGCCAAGCCGCGAGGCGGAGCCAAUCCCACAAAGCCGAUCGUAGUCCGGAUUGUUCUCUGCAACUCGAGAGCAUGAAGUCGGAAUCGCUAGUAAUCGCAGGUCAGCAUACUGCGGUGAAUACGUUCCCGGGUCUU